CCCUUAGAUGUUCUGGGCCGCACGCGUGCUACACUGAGUGGAUCAGCGGGUCAGGUUGCGCGAAAGUGUUUCCUAAUCUUGAAAUCCGCUCGUGAUGGGGAUUGACGGUUGCAAUUUUCCGUCAUGAACGAGGAAUACCUUGUAAGCGCGGGUCAUCAUCCCGCGCUGAAUACGUCCCUGCCCUUUGUACACACCGCCCGUCGCUCCUACCGAUUGAGUGGUCCGGUGAGGCUUUGGGAUCUGAGCAAAGAGCGUUUCGCUGUUUCUGCUCGGAAAACUCAGUCGAACCUUAUCAUUUAGAGGAGGGAGAAGUCGUAACA
rnacentral:rRNA from 1 species